UUUUUUUUUUUUUGCCUUUUUUUUCCCCUCUCUGGAGAGUGGAGACAAUGAGAAAAGUAUGAGAGAGGGAACAAAAAAACCAGCCCACCUCCCUGUUUUCAUGGGCAGAGUUACCAGAUUUGCGGCCUUUUUCAUUUCUGAAUUUUGACUGUAUUCACCGAAAUGCCCUCUGUUUCAAGUUUUAAAUUUAGCCAUCCUUAUCCAGUGCAGAUUUUAUGCCUGGAACAAUAAUCGCCGGAAGCCACAUGUCCAGAUCCCAAGAGCUGGUGGGGGGUGGUGGUGAUGGUGGUGGUGGUGG
rnacentral:misc_RNA from 1 species